GAAGUGGUUAGUUUCAUAACCCCAAGAUGCAAACCGGACCCUCCACUUGCACCCAGACUCAUUAACAGAUCCAAGAGCAGCCUGAAUUUACAGUGGAAAAAUGAUAAUCGUUCCAAAAUAAACAGCUUCCUUUUGGAAUGGGAUGAAAAAGGCAAAGGUGAAGACUUCAAAAGUUGCUAUAUGAGUACCAUGAAACAGCACAAGAUAAUUGAACUGAGUAUUUCUACAAAAUACUCAUUCAGAUUAGCUACCAAAAACAACUUUGGCUUGAGUGAUUUCAGUUAAAUAGCAGUCUUCCAUACAUCAGGAACUAUGCCUGCAACACCUCCACCUCCUAAGCUAAAAGAAGCAGGAAAGGAAUCUGUUGUCAGUAGACUGGUGUGCCCCAACACAAACCCAAAUGACACUCCUACUUAUGUACUAGAAAUGGAGGAAGCAGGAUCUGGUUUAGAUUUUAAGCCGAAAUACAAUGGAGAAGACCUUUCAUGCACUAUAAGAAGUCUUCAGAGAAGUACUACAUACAAGUUUAAACAGAUCUUUGCCUGCAAUAUGGAAGGAAGAAGCAACAGCAGUGGAGAAGUAAAAUAUACAACCUGUCCAGAUAAAACCGGAUCCCCUAGAAAACCAUAUAUAAAGGGAAAGGUCCAUGCACACAGUGUAAAAAUUGGAUGGGAGCCAUCCAAAGAUAAUGGUGGAACAUACAUUUCAAGUUACAGUUUAGAAGUUAGUGAAAAUUCAGAUGGUUUUACAGUGGCAACAAAGGAAUUUCUACAUAAUCACCUGCAACCUGAUACUGCAUAUAAACUGAGAGUCUUUUAUACCUCACUUAUAGGCCAGACAUCAGAUAUAUUGACUAUUCAAACACCUACUCUUCCUCCUGCAUCUUGCUGUCCUCCACCCUUGAAUGGUAAGACAAAGUCCAGAGAAACCAAUCUCCAAUGUGGUACACCUGUACUAACCUGAAAGGGUCCAAACUGUGUUGUUGUUAGUUGGGGAGUAUUUCAGAUUCCUGUGUGCAAUGGUGCUGAAAUCACUGAUUACAGGCUAGAGUGUGGACAAAUUGAAAAAUCAGUGCACUUGAUUUACACAGGCCCUUGCUUGAGCUAUGAAGUUAAAGGUCUCAUUCCUGCAACUACAUAUUUUUGCAGAGUCCAG
rnacentral:sRNA from 1 species